AGAAAUUAUAAAUUUCAGAAGCUUUGCGGUGCAAGUGUACAGCCAAAUUAUUACACCAAGAGCUACAGUAAUCCAUCAACUUCACGGAGUGUAAGCCAGUCAUUUCAUUCUAGGCACAAAUUCCUCGUCGCUGACGUCCCUCCCGCCCCCCUCCCACAAACGCAAUUUCAGCGGGACACCCAGGCUUCCAUGAAAACCACCAGAGGCACCUGCAACUCCUCCAAGUCUAGAUUUGCCCCGACAUUUGCAUUACCAAACUCGUGUAUUUCUACUAACAGUUUGAGGCUGCUGCACUGUUUUCUACACAUUAACUUGCUUUGUAAGAGUUACGGAAUGGGUGGCUCCCAGCGUUCACAAUGCUUUUUCCGCAGCUACGAUGAAGGACCUGCUGUACCUGCACCAUCCUCUUUCCCACAGCACCUCACCGAGACCAUUGUGUCCCUUGAGUCCGCCCCUUUCCAGACUAACCAACAGCAGAUCCUGAGUGCUGUCUUUCCCCUCCCAGAUAACAUCCUCCAGGUCCUGUUCUCUUUGUUCUCCGCUGGCCUCUGCUGUUGGGCGUUUUCCUUCCGAUUCUCAAACCAAACAGGUGUUUCAAGCAUACGCAGAGGUGACCGGGGGAAUCACCUGCAGAGAUCUAAAACAACCACAUUCGGAAAGCACAGACACUUCCGUUCUCUUUCAUAACCGUGCACAGCAAAUCCUUCUGCAGAGCUGAACCCAGCAUGUGAUUCUCUAGAAACUAGAAAACAAAAAGAAAAUCCAAACUGUCUCUGCGCACAAACCCCAGUGAGUAAGAGAAAUCUGAAUCUGCACUUCUGGUUUUCUGAGAGAACAUUCCACCGAGUUUCCUGCUCCUUCCUUCCCCUCCGAGCAGCUUUGGAGGGGCAGCACCAGCCCAGUAUUUCAGGCACUUCACGGAACCUCGGAACAGCCGAGGGAGCUCUGAACUCGAGUGCGCUGCUCGAAGCGCCGCAGACGCCGCAGGAACCUCCGGGCGCCGGCCGGCCCGGUUCUGGGUGCUGCAGAGGAUGAGGACGCCAAAACCUCCCAAGGGAACGCGUCCCAGCAUCUCGCUGCUCUCACGGUAGGAGAUUUAAACCAUUAGUUAGCAUUCACUUGCCUUACCG